AAAUAUCAUGCUAUUUUCAUAAGCUUGGUUUUGGUUCAACUUGCAAGGACAUUUUUGUAGUUUCUUAUGCCGUCAUAAGGUUAUUUAUUCACAUACAAACUGACAAUGGUUAGUUACUUAAUUCUUUUCAAUUCUAUGGUUACUUUAUACUAUUACCCUUUUAUAAAUCCAAUUCAUUUAACUAACAUCUAUACUAUUAAUUGGGAAGCAUUGUGUGAACUACAACAUUGUAAGGGUAGUUUUAAUAAAUUAAUUUUUGCAUGGGUAAUUUAGUAAAUUAACAACUACUACAAAUAAAUAAAUAUCUUAGAUUUUGUUUAUA
rnacentral:sRNA from 1 species